rnacentral:rRNA from 1 species
CAGUCGCCGCGGGAAUACGAAGGGUGCAAGCGUUAAUCGGAAUUACUGGGCGUAAAGCGUGCGUAGGCGGUUUGUUAAGUCUGUUGUGAAAUCCCCGGGCUCAACCUGGGAAUGGCAAUGGAUACUGGCAAGCUAGAGUGUGUCAGAGGAUGGUGGAAUUCCCGGUGUAGCGGUGGAAUGCGUAGAGAUCGGGAGGAACAUCAGUGGCGAAGGCGGCCAUCUGGGACAACACUGACGCUGAGGCACGAAAGCGUGGGGAGCAAACAGGAUUAGAUACCCCCGUAGUCCCUGUCUCUUAUAC